GACGAACGCUGGCGGCGUGCUUAACACAUGCAAGUCGAACGGAAAGGCCCUGCUUUUGUGGGGUGCUCGAGUGGCGAACGGGUGAGUAACACGUGAGUAACCUGCCCUUGACUUUGGGAUAACUUCAGGAAACUGGGGCUAAUACCGGAUAGGAGCUCCUGCUGCAUGGUGGGGGUUGGUAAGUUUCGGCGGCUGGGGAUGGACUCGCGGCUUAUCAGCUUGUUGGUGGGGUAGUGGCUUACCAAGGCUUUGACGGGUAGCCGGCCUGAGAGGGUGACCGGCCACAUUGGGACUGAGAUACGGCCCAGACUCCUACGGGAGGCAGCAGUGGGGAAUAUUGCACAAUGGGCGGAAGCCUGAUGCAGCAACGCCGCGUGCGGGAUGACGGCCUUCGGGUUGUAAACCGCUUUCGCCUGUGACGAAGCGUGAGUGACGGUAAUGGGUAAAGAAGCACCGGCUAACUACGUG
rnacentral:rRNA from 1 species